AGAGUUUGAUCCUGGCUCAGGAUGAACGCUGGCGGCGUGCUUAACACAUGCAAGUCGAACGAACCUUCGGGUUAGUGGCGGACGGGUGAGUAACGCGUGAGAAUCUGCCCUCAGGAGGGGGAUAACGGCUGGAAACGGCCGCUAAUACCCCAUAUGCCGAGAGGUGAAAUGAAUUUCGCCUGAGGAUGAGCUCGCGUCUGAUUAGCUAGUUGGUGGGGUAAGAGCCUACCAAGGCUUCGAUCAGUAGCUGGUCUGAGAGGAUGAUCAGCCACACUGGGACUGAGACACGGCCCAGACUCCUACGGGAGGCAGCAGUGGGGAAUUUUCCGCAAUGGGCGAAAGCCUGACGGAGCAACGCCGCGUGAGGGAUGAAGGCCUCUGGGCUGUAAACCUCUUUUCUCAAGGAAGAAGAUCUGACGGUACUUGAGGAAUAAGCCACGGCUAAUUCCGUGCCAGCAGCCGCGGUAAUACGGGAGUGGCAAGCGUUAUCCGGAAUUAUUGGGCGUAAAGCGUCCGCAGGCGGCCUUGAAAGUCUGCUGUUAAAGCGUGGAGCUUAACUCCAUUUCAGCAGUGGAAACUACAAGGCUAGAGUGUGGUAGGGGCAGAGGGAAUUCCCGGUGUAGCGGUGAAAUGCGUAGAUAUCGGGAAGAACACCAGUGGCGAAGGCGCUCUGCUGGGCCAUAACUGACGCUCAUGGACGAAAGCCAGGGGAGCGAAAGGGAUUAGAUACCCCUGUAGUCCUGGCCGUAAACGAUGAACACUAGGUGUCGGGGGAAUCGACCCCUCCGGUGUCGUAGCCAACGCGUUAAGUGUUCCGCCUGGGGAGUACGCACGCAAGUGUGAAACUCAAAGGAAUUGACGGGGGCCCGCACAAGCGGUGGAGUAUGUGGUUUAAUUCGAUGCAACGCGAAGAACCUUACCAGGGUUUGACAUCCUGCGAAUCCCUUGGAAACGAGGGAGUGCCUUCGGGAGCGCAGUGACAGGUGGUGCAUGGCUGUCGUCAGCUCGUGCCGUGAGAUGUUGGGUUAAGUCCCGCAACGAGCGCAACCCACGUCUUUAGUUGCCAGCAUUCAGUUGGGCACUCUAGAGAGACCGCCGGUGAUAAACCGGAGGAAGGUGUGGAUGACGUCAAGUCAUCAUGCCCCUUACAUCCUGGGCUACACACGUACUACAAUGCUACGGACAAAGGGCAGCAAACUCGCGAGAGCUAGCAAAUCCCAUAAACCGUGGCUCAGUUCAGAUCGUAGGCUGCAACUCGCCUACGUGAAGGAGGAAUCGCUAGUAAUCGCAGGUCAGCAUACUGCGGUGAAUACGUUCCCGGGCCUUGUACACACCGCCCGUCACACCAUGGAAGUUGGCCACGCCCGAAGUCGUUACUCCAACCCGCAAGGGAGGAGGAUGCCGAAGGUGGGGCUGAUGACUGGGGUGAAGUCGAAACAAGGUA
rnacentral:rRNA from 1 species